UCACCACAUUCUAAUAAAACAACGUACACCCCCAGCGCAUGUUAGACUCAAUCCCAAAUCACAAACAGUAAUACCGCGCUUAAUAGAUAUAUCUUCAAAUUGAAAAAAAAAAAACCUCUAUCAAAUUCGAUUAUGCGAUUAACUUCUUCAAUGCCAUUCGGGUCGGGUUCUCUAAUGUGGUUCCGAAAGGGUAUUCGGAUCCACGACAACCCGGCACUCGAAUACGCUUCCAGAGAAUCUUCUAGUCUUUAUCCUCUAUUUAUUAUAGACCCGCAUUACAUGAAACCCGACCCGAAUGCAUUCUCACCCGGGUCUUCUCUAGCGGGUCUCAACCGUAUCAAUUUCUUGCUUCAAAGCCUUGGUGAUCUUGAUGUUAACCUUAAGAAGCUUGGUUCGAGAUUGUUGAUAGUUAAGGGUGAUCCUCAUGAGGUUCUCAUUCGAUGCUUGAAAGAGUGGAACAUUGGGAAAUUAUGCUUUGAGUAUGACACUGAUCCAUAUUAUCAAGCUCUGGAUAUUAAAAUCAAGGACUAUGCACUUAAGGCAGGGAUUGAGGUUUUCUCUCCUGUAAGUCACACACUAUUCAAUCCAACGGAUAUUAUACAGAAGAAUGGAGGGAAGCCGCCGCUUAGUUAUCAAUCAUUUGUCAAGCUUGCGGGGGAGCCACCAUCUCCACUCUCAACUAAGUAUUCUUCACUUCCUCCGGUUGGCAAUCUUGGAAGUUGUGAUAUUUCCGAAGUUCCAACCGUCAAAGAUCUUGGAUAUGAAGAUGCUAAACUGGAGGAGUUCUCUCCUUUUAUAGGAGGUGAAUCAGAAGCGUUGAAGAGAUUGGAAGAAUGCAUGAAAGACAAGAAAUGGGUGGCAAAUUUUGAGAAACCUAAGGGCAAUCCAUCUGCAUUUCUAAAGCCAGCAACAACUAUUUUAUCACCUUACUUGAAAUUUGGUUGUCUUUCUUCCAGAUAUUUCUACCAAUGCAUUCAAGAUGUAUAUAAAAGUUCCCCAAAACAUACGUCACCUCCUGUUUCUCUUCUAGGACAGUUGUUGUGGCGAGAGUUCUUUUACACAGCAGCUUUUGGGACUCCAAAUUUCGAUAGGAUGAAAGGCAAUAGGAUAUGCAAGCAGAUUCCUUGGAAGGAUGAUGAUAAACUUCUGGAGGCUUGGAGAGAUUCUAAGACAGGGUUUCCAUGGAUUGAUGCUAUCAUGGUCCAGCUACGCCAAUGGGGUUGGAUGCAUCAUUUGGCACGACAUUCUGUUGCUUGUUUUCUAACUCGAGGGGAUCUGUUUGUUCAUUGGGAAAAAGGACGUGAUGUCUUUGAGAGGCUUCUGAUUGAUUCAGAUUGGGCCAUUAAUAACGGAAACUGGAUGUGGCUCUCAUGUUCAUCUUUCUUUUAUCAGUAUAAUCGUAUUUAUUCCCCAACCACAUUUGGUAAGAAGUAUGACCCUAAUGGUGACUUUAUUAGGCAUUUUCUCCCGGUCUUAAAAGAUAUGCCCAAGGCGUACAUCUAUGAACCAUGGACUGCUCCUCCAAGCAUCCAGACCAAAGCCAAUUGCAUAAUUGGAAAAGACUACCCAAUGCCAGUUGUUUCUCACGACUCUGCAAGUAAAGAGUGCAAAAGGAAAAUGGGUGAGGCAUAUGCAUUGAAUAAAGCACUGAAUGGUUUGGUAAGUGAAGAUGAUCUGAAAAACUUGAGGAGGAAAUUGGAUGAGGGCGAAGAACAAGAAACAAAAGCUAAAAAAAGAUCUAGGCAACUGCUAAUUGGCUGAGGGAAAGUUUUACUGACUUUUUCAACUGUCAUGCUUUAAGCUGUUGUUUAUGCAUGUUUGGAAUAUCGCUUUACAUUUUGACAUUUUGUAUAUCAGGCUUGUACAUAAUGUAGUGCAAAUUAAUAUUACUGACAGAUUUUGUCAUCUAAGCUUUCCUAGUGGUUGAAGUUGAUAUUUUUUAGGUGCCUUAAAGCAUUUUCUAAAAGGAGAUUAUGCGGUAGAGAUGAUUUGUUUGUUCAACACAUUUUAGAUGAUAUGUGCGGAGAAGGUUUUGAUGUGACAAGAAAUCUUUUCUGUGCAAUCACUAAGUUAACUAUGGCUAGGAGAAAAAUGGUCAAUGAGUUUGCUAGAGUUUGUAGCUGCUGCACCUUGACGCCAGUAUUUAAGUCUUCUGGUGGGAUACGCCCAUGAUGUUGUAUGUUUGUUGUUGUAUGUUUUAUUUGGAGGCGUAUGAUAUCUAAGGUUGCUAUGAAACGAGUUAGUAAAGAUGUGACAUAAUACCUCAAUGACUUCUAGUUUGGCGUCACAGUAUUAGGUGGUGCCGAGACCAUUUUGCACAGUGGCAAGAAAGUGUUGAGCAAGCGACAUGCAAAUGGUUUUUUGACUAUGCUUUUUGAAAUAUGAGAGAGUGAGAGACAUUUGAAUAAAAAUGUGUGUUUGAAUAGCACUACGGAGAUUGUAUUAUAUAGUGAGAUUCAUAACUUAUUGUAUUAAUUACAUAAGGAAUAUGCCACAAUAUAUUUUAUUCUAUUCUAGAUAGGAUAAGGAAUAUUCUAUAUACAAAUAUUAACACUCUCGCUCAAACUUGAGCAUAUAAGUCAAAUGCACUAAAUUUGUCUCAUAU